ACUUCAAAUACUGUAGUCUCGUUGUUUGACCCACAGUUCAAAACGCCUUACUUUUCAAACCCAGUGUUUGCUUCAUUAGAAUACCCUUUCGGGUUUUCAUCCUAAUCUUUUGUGUUAAUCAAGACGCCCUUUCUGGUUUUUCACCUUGAAUUUUUUUUAGGCAUAAUAUUUCUUCACAGCAUCUGAAUUCACUAGAUUAGGUAACUCUUUCCCAUCCAUCUCAGUGAGAAUCAAAGCUCCACUUGAGAAAGCCUUCUUUACGACAUAUGGUCCUUCCCAAUUUGGUGCCCAUUUUCCUCGCAGGUCUUUUUGUAUUGGGAGAAUCUUUCUCAGUACGAGUUCUCCUUCGUGGAAUUCUCUCAGCCGUACUUUCUUGUCAUGGGCCGCGAUCAUUCUUUUCUGGUACAUAUGUCCGUGACAAAUUGUCUUUAAACAUUUUUCUUCGAUUAGGUUUAACUGGUCAUAUCGAGCUCGGACCCAUUCUGCUUCCUCUAAUUUCGACUCCAUUAAGACUUGUAGAAAAGGGAUCUCAACUUCGAUAGGUAGCACAGCUUCCAUCCAUAGACCAGAGAGAAAGGAGUUGCUCCCGGAGACGUCCGUACAGAUGUGUGAUAUGCAUACAAAGUAAAUGGUAACUUCUCGUGCCAGGCUUUAUAUGUCUCGGUCAUUUUCCCAAUAAUCUUCUUGAUAUUCUUGUUGGUCGCUUCAACAGCUCCGUUCAUUUUCAAGCAAUAGAGUGAUGAGUUAUGAUGCUUUAUUUGAAAUUGCUCACUGUAACACCCCUAACCCGAGACCGUUUCCGGAGUCGAGCACGAGGCAUUACUUAGCUUAUCUUACCAAUUCGGAGCAUAAAAACUAGGUUUGAAAAUUUAUUUCAUUAUUCGCAGCAAAUCUGUCCAAUCGCGCAGCAGUUACUAAAUUAAUUAUAACUUGAGCUACAGAACUCGAAAUUUAAUUCCGUAAAUUUUCCCUGAAACUAGACUCAUAUAUCUACUCACCAUAAAAUUUUUAGAAUUUUUGGUUUAGCAAAUUAGUACAGUUUAUUAGUUAAAGUCUCCCCUGUUUCACCACCUGACUGCCCUGACCUCUAGUCACUAAAAAUAAGUUUUCUCACUGUAGGAUUUUCAUAUGAAGUUCUUACUUGUUUCUACAGAAAAUAGACUCUUUAAUAAAUCUAAGCAUGUAAAUUUAAACUCAUAACCAUUUUUGUACAAUUUCUAAUUAUUUUCUAAACUCAGAACAGGGGACUCCAAAAACAGUUCUGACCCUAUCUUACUAAAAUUCACAUAUCUUAAAAUAUAAAUUUCCUUUUUCUACAUCGUUAUUUUUCCAUGAAAAUAGACUCAACAAGCUUUAAUUCUAUAUAUCAUUCACCCUCUAAUUCAUUUUAUACUAUCUUGGGUGAUUUUUCAAAUUCACGUCACUGUGCUGCCUGAAUUCUGUUUCUUUGCAAAAUUUUAUCCUUUCAUGAUUUCCAUGCAUAAUUUAUCACCUAAUCUUUCAUAACAACAAACACCUUCAUCCUUAAUCAUUUUAAUAACCAUACAUCAUCAAAUACUUACACAUCACUCAUUAGCAAAAUCAUCAUUACAAACAUACAAAAUAACUAAAUCCCUAUACAUGCCAUAACUCAAACGUGUUUCGAUAUAAAAUACCGAGCAGUUGUAGUUGAUAGUGUGGACGAUCUCCGACUUCUUUAGGAUCCUUGAAGUAGCUUUGCAAUACUAUAAGAGAAAGAGAAAUAAAAGAAGUAAGCAUAAAGCUUAGUAAGUUUACUAGAAAAUAAAUAACAAUAUUUAACUUAAAUAAUUGAACUCAAUGUCUAUAUCUCUAGUUUACUCUUUAGUUAAUCUCAUACUAGUUCUCUUACUUGAUUACUUAGAAUACUUGUGUGCAUAACUUACUCAAUCCUUGCUGCAUCGUUGAACAUCAAUUGAUAGUAUAAUAAGUUCUUAAGUCUUACAACUUACCUGAGCUUGCCAUUUAUACUUUAAACUGAACUUUCAUGAACAUGAUUCGUUUACAAGCCCGUUGAGCUACAUUGGAAUAAUAAGGAUACUCGGGUCUCUUCUGAUAAUAACAUGCCAAAGCCAUGUCCCAGACAUGGUCUUACAUGGGAUGUUCUCGUGAUGGUGCCCAUGCCAUGUCCCAGACAUGGUCUUAUAGGGGACCUCUCAUCUCGGUGCCAACGCCAUGUCCCAGACAUGGUCUUACAUGGGACCUCUCGUCUCGGUGCCCAUGCCAUGUCCCAGACAUGGUCUUACAGGGGACCUCUCAUGAUCUUAAGGAUGCCAAUGCCAUGUCCCAGACAUGGUCUUACAUGGGAUCUCUUUACCCAAAUGUCAUGACAUUCGUAUCCAGUACCAUCCUUAUGUAUCAACGGGACUUUUAAAUUUUAAUUCUCUAUCAUUUCAUGCUUGGAUCAUCAUCAAAUAAAUUCAUAAAAUAAAUUCAUAAUUGCUGGAAAUUAACAGAAUUAAUAAUAAAUAUUGAAAUAUUGCAUUUAUUUACCGUAAACUUACCUCGGUACCAAUUAUAGCCAAAUUCACCAACUUAGUCUUCAACUUUAUUCUUCCCUUUGUCUAACCUCGAGUUUCGUACUUCUUGAUCUAAAAUAGUAAAUUUAACUUAUUUAAUAAUCACAUUCAUCAAAACAGCCCUCGACUCUAACUUUUUCAAAAUUACAAUUUUGCCCCUAAACUUUUACAUAAUUACAUUUUUGCCCCAAGGCUCAGAAAUUAAACUUCAUCUCUUAUUCUUAUGUUUUAUAACAUUCUGAACAUUUUUCCCUUUUAUGGCAACAUCAAAUUCCCACUCUAACAUGUACUUAUGAACAUUAGGUAUUUUUACCGAUUAUGUCGUUUUACUCGUUUUCACUUAAAAUCGCUUAGAAAAAGUUAUUUAACAUAAUUUCUAGCUUCAUAUUCUAUCAUAAAACAUCAAAAUAAACACUUUUCACCUAUGGGUAUUUUUCCAAAUAUAAACCCUAGGUUAAAUUAUUGCUAGAAUAAGCUAAAUUAAGCUACCGGGAUCUCAAAAACGUAAAGAACAUUAAAAACGGGGCUUGGGAUCACUUACUAUGGAGCUUGGAAGCUUGAAAACCCUAACUAUGGCUUCCCCCCUUGCUGAUUUCGUUCAUAUGAAGAAGAUGAUGAUUUUUUCCAUCUUUUUCCCUUUUAAUUCAUUUUAAUUACUAGAUUACCAAAUUGCCCCUAACUUAAAAAUUUUCUAUUUCACUUAUCUCAUGUCCAUUUUUGUCUACCAAGUUACCAAUGGUAUAAUUACCAUAUAAGGACCUCCAAUUUAAAAUUUCAUAACAAUUGGACACCUCUAACAUGUAGAACUCAACUUUUGCACUUUUUACAAUUUAGUCCUUUUGACUAAAUUGAGUGCCCAAACGUCGAAAUUUUCGAACGAAAUUUUCAAAAAAUCAUUUUGUGAAAUUGUAGAACAUAAAAAUAUAAGAAAAAUAAAAUUUUUCUCAUCGGAUUUGUGGUUCCGAAACCACUAUUCCGAUAACCUCAAAUUUGGGCCAUUACACUCACACACUUCCUUCAUCAUCUUGUUGUUCAAAUUCAAGGCGUUAUCCGAAAUGAUUCUUUCAGGCAAACCAUAUCGAUAAAUAAUUUCCUUUUUCAAAAACCUGCAAACUGCAGUCUUCGUCACAUUGGUAAACGAAGCGGCUUCUAUCCAUUUUGUGAAGUAAUCAAUAACCAAAAAAAUGAACCGGUGUCUAUUAGAAGCUUUUGGAGAAAUUGGCCCUAUAACAUCCAUGCCCCACAUAGAAAAAGGCCACUGAGAACUCAUGACAUGAAGGGGCAAAGGGGCGAAGGGGCUGCAUGAAUUUUAUCAUCGUAAAUUUGACAUUUGUGGCACUUUCGUGCAUAGCUAAUACAGUCGCUUUCCAUCUUCAGCCAGUAGUAACCAAGUCACAUAAUCUUCCUAGCCAUAGUGAAACCAUUCGCAUACGUCCCACAAAUUCCUUCAUGGACAUAUUCAAGUAUUUUUCUAGCUUCAACAUCAUCCACGCAUCUCAAGAGCACUUGACCUUUUCCUCUUUUGUACAGAAUGUCCCCAUCAAGAACAAAUCCCGCUGCCAUUCUUCUGAUUGUUCUUUUGUCGUUCUUAUUUGCUUGUUCGGGAUACCUUUGAUUCUUGAUAUAUUCUAAGAUAUUAUGGAACCAUUAUCAUCCAUUUGGCUAUUUUUCAAUGCUGAAACAAUGUGCAGGGACUUCAUAUAUACUCAUUUGAAGAGGCAUUAUUUAUGUUUCUCUAUUUGCUUUGAACAUUGAAGCCAAAGUGGUCAGGGCAUCGGCCAAUUGGUUGUCUUCUCGUGGGAAGUUAUUAAAAGUUAUUUCUUUGAAUUCUUUAAUCAGUCCUGCCACUAGAUCGUUGUAUUUAACUAAUUUCGAAUCUCUCACUUCCUAAUCUCCACGGAUUUGGUAUAUCACUAACGCUGAGUCCCCAUACACCUCUAAGAUUUCGAUGUUUCGUUCAAUAGCUGCACGAAGUCCCAUGAUACAGGCCUCAUAUUCCGUUAUGUUAUUGGUACAGAAGAAAUUCAGCCUGGCAAUGAAGGGAUAAUGGUUCCCUUCUAGUGAUACUAAGACUGCUCCAAUCUCAUGCCCCAAUGUGUUCGAUGCACCAUCAAAGCUCAUCUUCCAUGACUACUCUUUGGAUGACUCACAUUCUUUUCCCGUAAUGCACAUCAAGUCUUCAUCUGGGAAAUCAAAUCACAAUGGCUCGUAUUCUUUCGUUAUUCGAGUUGCUAAGAAAUUAGCUAUUGCGCUCUCCUUUAUCGACUUUUGGCUCACAUAGACGAUGUCGUAUUCUGAUAGUAGGAUCUGCCAUCGUGCCAUUCUUCCUAGGAGUGCAGGUCAUUCCAUCAUGUACUUUAUUGGGUCCAGCUUUGAAAUUAACCAUGUCGUAUGAUACAACAUAUAUUGCCUGAGCCUUCGAACUACCUAGACCAAAGCGCAACAGAAUUUUUCAAUUGACGAGUACUUUGCCUCAUACUCUGUGAACUUUUUGCUGAGAUAGUAAAUCGCCUUUUCUCUUUUCCCUGACUCAUCAUGUUGCCCCAGUACACAACCUAUUGAAUUUUCGAACACAUUCAGAUACAAUAUUAACGGUCUUACUAGAGUUGGCGGGACUAGCACCGGGGGACUAGAGAAAUACUGUUUUAUCCUGUAAAAAGCCAUUUGGCACUCCUCGUUCCAUUCUCCCGGAUUAUGUUUUCGAAGAAGUCAAAAAAUUGGGUCACACUGGUUAGUCAGUUGAGCAAUAGACCGAGCAAUGUAGUUCAACCUCCCUAAAAAUCCUCUGACUUCUUUUUGCGUGCGCAGAUGUGGUAGUUCUUGUAUGGCUUUUAUCUUAUUUGGAUCCACUUCAAUGCUUCUCUUGCUGAUGAUGAAGCCUAAUAAUUUUCCCGAGGUAGCCCCAAACGUACACUUGGCUGGAUUAUGCUUCAGUUGGAACUUUCUCAGUCUUUUGAACAACUUCCUGAGGUUCCCAACAUGCUCUCUUUCCCCCUUGGAUUUGGCGAUUAUAUAAUCGACGUAGACUUCUAUUUCUUUGUGCAUCAUGUCAUGAAACAACAUCCCCAUAGCCCUCUGAUAUGUUGCCCCAGCAUUCUUUAAUCCGAACGGCAUCACCUUAUAACAGAAUGUUCCCCACAUCGUUAUGAAAGUAGUUUUCUCCGUAUCUUCAGGAGCUAUCUUUAUCUGAUUAUAACCCGAGAAUCCAUCCAUGAACAAAAAUAAUGAAUGUUUGGCUGUGUUAUCCACCAAUGUAUCGAUGUGUGGCAAAGGAAAAUUAUCUUUAGGACUUGCUCGAUUCAGAUCACGAUAAUCCACACACAUCCGUACCUUGCCAUCUUUCUUCGGUACUGUGACUAUGUUAGCUACCCAUUCUGGGUACUUAGAGACUUGUAAGAAGCCAGCAUCGAAUUUUUUCUUAACUUCUUUUAUCUUUAACAGCAUUUCAGGUCUCAUUCGUCUUAGCUUCUGUUGAAUGGGUUUGCAUUCUGGUUUCAGUGGGAGUCUAUGGACCACUACAUCCGCCUUUCUCGAUCUUUCUGCAACUGUUUUCUUCUCUGUCGUAUAUCCGGCUGGAACCCUAAACUAUAUCGAGCCUUAUGGGGCACUGGUUUUAGAGCUCUAACUAUCCCUUGUUGAUAUGUUCCAAAACCUUUCCUCGCUCGGGCUCCCUUUCCCACAGUCAGCUUAAUUCCCAUUUUGGUAUCCCUUGAUAGCUUAGGCAUGGAAAUUUUAUUUCCUUCAGCAACGAACGUAGCAUUGAUGAAUUCGAAGGAACGGAAGGAACAUUCUACUGCAUCAUUGCUUACUUCGAGGUAUGGUGUAUCAGUAGAGAUAGAUGCGAUAAUGUCUUCCUCACCCACGAUAGUGACCAAAAGACCAUCCAUAAUAAACUUCACUUUUUGAUGGAGAGAUGAAGGAACUGCCCCAGCAGAGUAGAUCCAAUGCCUUCCUAAAAGGAAAUUAUACAAAGGCGUGAUGUCCAUGACCUGAAACUCGAUGUCAUAUAUAUAGGGGCCCACUUCUAGAGGAAUUUCAAUUUUUCCGAUGACUUCUCGUAUUGUCCCAUCGAAUGCUUUUACUGUAGAGUGAAAAGGCCUCAUAUAAGAUAAAUCAAUUGGAAUUCUAGAAAGCGUAGCCAAAGGUAUGACAUUGAGUGCUGACCCGUUAUCAAUGAACACAUUCUGUAACACCCCUAUCCCGUAUCCGUCGCCGGAAUAGGUAAAAGGGCAUUAACGGACUUGAAACUCAUAUCCGAACAGUGAAAAUUUUGAAUAUUUUUAUUUAUUUAUUUAUUUUUUAAAGAACGUUCCUUUAGGUAAAUACUAAAGACAGUCAGGGAUACAAUUUAACUUCUAUAAGUACACAUUCAAAAGAUGCCAUUUUCGCAUGGCUUAUAUACAUUAACCUAAAUAUUCUUUGGCCACUGGUCUAUUCUUUACAUGCCAUAAAAUAAUUCAAAACAUAACAGUAACUAGCAGUGGAUAGUGAUAGUGUGACUAGUUGCUGACGAUCCCCGAGCCUGUAGCUUCCAAAUGAGAUCUAUAAAACAGAGGAAACAAAGUAAACGGAGUAAGCAUUACAAUGCUUAGUAAGUUUUAAGCAGUGUCAACAGAUAACAAUCAAAUUAUAACAUAGUUGUUCGUGUUUUUAUUUCACUCUUCCUUCGGGCAUACCAUCCCUUUACCGAAUAUGCACAUCUCAUCAUAUAUAAUAGACAGAUAAAUUCUCACUUGAUAGUGAUCUCUUAUAAACAUAGGUACAUUACAUAUUUUCACCUAACUUUCCCCAUUGACCAAACGCACAAUAAUCAUAGAACAGUCUUAUUGCUUUACUCACAUAUGCAUCACAUAACGACCUUGUGAUUUUAGUCCAAAUCAAGCUUAAAUAUAAUCUCAAGAUACAUACCUGACCAACUUAACGCAUUGAACGUAUUUAUUACCAAUUGUUACUGUGAAGUCAUAUAAUCUUAUGCUUUACUCGAAUCUUCAGCGAAACCUUUAGCUCGAAUAGUCCCCACACGUAGUUAUCGGGUCUUACCCGGGCAAAAUCUCCACACGUAGUCAUCGGGUCUUACCCGGACAUAAUCUCCACACGUAGUCAUCGGGUCUUACCCGGAAUAUAUUUCCAAGUUUCAUGUACAUUUAAUCACAUGUUACAACAUUCACAUCGACUGUCAUUUUUGUAAUUCAUUUGCUUCAUCAAAUAUCUAAUAAUACACACCUUUCACAUUUGGUCAUUCGGCCACAAUAUACACACAUCUCCUACAUAUUUCACACUAGCCAUUCGGCUUUACCACAUAUACAUAUCUCAUAUAUAUAUUUCACACUAGCCAUUCGGCUUUACCACAUAUACAUAUCUCAUAUAUAUGCUUUACCACAUAUACAUAUCUCAUACAUAUUUCACAUUAGCCAUUCGGCUUUACCACAUAUACAUAUCUCAUACAUAUUUCACAUUAGCCAUUCGACUUUACCACAUAUACAUAUCUCAUAUAUAUUUCACAUUAGCCAUUCGGCUUUAGCCAUUCGACUUUACCACAUAUACAUAUCUCAUAUAUAUUUCACAUUAGCCAUUCGGCUUUACCACAUAUACAUAUCUCAUACAUAUUUCACAUUAGCCAUUCGGCUUUACCACAUAUACAUAUAUAUUUAUCUUGUACAUCAAUUUCAGCAAUAGCUUAUAAGCAACUCAAAUAGUUUCAUCAAUGUUUACAACAAAUUCACAUAUUCACUACAAGCUGUUUUCCUGAGCAAUAGUCACUAAAUUAUUCAUAAUUGGAGCUAAAAAACUCAAAAUCAAUUGCCGUUAAUUUUCCCUGAAUAUAGACUCAUAUAUCUUCCAUCCAUAAAAUUUUCAUAAUUUUAGGUUUGGCCAAUCAAUACCAGAUUUUUCUUAAAGUUUCCCCUGUUUCACUGUUUGACUAAUCUGACCACUCUUCACUACGAAUCAAAUUUCUCAUUGUACAGAAUUCAAAAUAUGUUCUAUUUGAUUUAAUUUGAAACUAGACUCAUUAAGGAGUCUAAGAAUAUAAAUUUUAUCUUAUAACCAUUUUUUUACAAAUUAUAAUGAUUUUCUAAAAACAGAACAGGGGAUUUCGGAGUCAUUCUGACCCUGCCUCACACAACUUUAAAUAUCUCUUUAUAAGAAAUUUCUUUGCUUACACGGUCUCUUUUAUAAGAAACUAGACUAAUUAAGCUUUGAUUACAUAUUUUAUUCAGCCUAUAAUUCCACAUCAACAAUUUAUAGUGAUUUUCUAAAAUCACGUUACUGCUGCUGUCCUAAACAAAUUAUUACAAAUUGCUCUUAAAUUUCCAAGUCCAAACACUUAUGAACUUGCCAUUUGAGUUUAAGACAUAUCAUGGCCACAUCAUAUCUUAUUAAACCAACUCAUUAUGUCCUAUUAUGAUUGAAUUUACUCAACGUUUAAUCACUUAAAACUUACCUCGGAAGUGGUCGACGACUAGAUAUCCACGGCCAUUCGUUUACUUUCUCUUUUCCCCUAUCCGACUUUGAUCCUCUUCGCUCUUAAGCUUAAGUAAAACAAUAGAUUUGCUUAAGUACUUAACUAAUAUUAUUCACUUAACAAUCACAUUUGGCAAUCACAUAUCAUUUAAUCUAUAUCUAAAACAAUAGAUUUCAUUAUGUAUCAUAUUUAAUAAAACAUGCCAUGACUCGAUUUCAUGCUUAUUUAAUUUAUAUCUAAUUCACAUUCACAAGCAAGGAGUCACUUAAUUUAUCAUGCUUCCUUAUACAUGAAUUUAAUCAUAUUGCCGAAUGUCCUUAUGUGUACAUGGUACAUACAUAAGGCAUAUAUAUAUAUGUAUAUAUAUACCUAUAUAUGACCAUUACAAUUUAAAUAUUUAAUCAUAAUCGGCAAGCUUUAUUUCAACUAUUUAAGGUGCAAACCAAUUAUGUUAUUCAUUAACAUUUCGUCCUAUUAAAUCUUUGAUUAACCAAUUUAACACAUACCAAAAUUCAAUCAUACAUCUAACCUUUAUCUCAAUACUAAACCGAGUUACAAGAUUAUACAUUACACUAAGCAUAUCAUUAAACAUACCUAUUCAAUUUAGCUAAUUUCAUAGCCGAUUAAUCACCUUACCCCACAUUACUCAAUGCCGAAUAUUAACCCAACAUCCCAAGCAUAAUCACCAUGAAACUUACCUUAAUACACCUUUUAUCCCAUUGCCGAAUACAUAUAUAUAUCAUCAAACAAAUAUUUAUUCGCAUAACAACAAUUCAUUCACAUCUCUAUAAAUGAUCAUAAUCGGACAUUAUAAACAAAUCAUAAAACAGCUCAUAACCAUCAUCUAUAUUUACUUCACAUAAACCGAAAUAACCAUUACAUCAUCUUUAAUACACUUAGCAUUUUACCCAUUUAAUCAAGCCAAAUCUCAAGACCAUUCCAUCACACAAAUUAUACCAUAAAUCAUACUUACAAUUUAAGUUAAUACAUGACCGAAAAUCACCAUCAUUCACAUCGUUAUCAAACCAAAACCAAAACACACCUAUCAUCCGUAUGCCAAGCUUACCAAAACAAACUACUAUGAGUUUCAAGCUUAUUGACCGAAUCUCAAACCUCAAAAUUCUAAGUUUAAUCUACGGGAUAAGUAGAGUUUGAACUAAUCAUCUCAAACAUGCAUAGAUUUUCAAGAAUCAUUCAAUACAUACCUCAUUCUAGCCAUCUUCUAAGCCAAAAAUCAAAGCAACCAAACUUUCUUCUUCUUCCUUCCUCAAGUCACGGCAAUGGGGGAGCAUGGAUGAGACAACUUUGUUUUCAUCACCCCUCCCUUUUCAUUACUUUAUUACUAACCUUUUAUUUUAUUAUUUUUAACAUAAAACAUUAACACAAAAUGUUUAUAAUAUGUUUUAACCCAUAGCAUGGACGGCCACUACCUAAAGUUUUGGGUAAUUUGACAUGCAAGGACAAGCAUUUUCUAACAUGCAUCAAUAGGCCACUUUAACAUUUGCCUAGCACAUUUCUAAAUUUUCUCACACAAGUCCUAUUUAAUAAAACUCACUUACAAUUAACAAAAUUCAAACAUGAAUUUUUCACACAUGCCUAUAUAUAUAAUAAGCAUCAAAUAUGAUGGUUAAUUAUUUUUAUGACUCGGUUUUGUGGUCCCGAAACCACUUUCCGACUAGGGUCACAUUAGGGGUGUCACACAUUCAGUAUUAUAUAACCCUUGCAACGGGUUGUGAUAUGUAAUGCUUUUACGGAGCCCCUACCAUUUGGCGGUAUUUUAUCAUCACUGAAUGAAAUAAAAUUAUCCGUGUUCAGGUUAUUCACCCACCUAUCAAGCUUUUCGACAGAUAUAUUGCUUGCCACGUAAGCUUGAUUUAAUACUUUCAGCAAAGCAUUCCGAUGUGGUUCUGAAUUCAACAGUAGGGAUAAUACCGAGAUUCGUGCCGGUUGUUUGCUUAACUGUUCCACGACGUUAUAUUCACUAUGUUUGAUGAACUUCAAGAAUUUAUAUGCUUCCUCUUCAUUCACAGGCUUUUUAACUUCUUGUUAGGACGGAGUCUCAAGUUCUACCUCGACCUCAUGCAUCGGUGCCUUUCCUUUCUGCUUCAAGUCAUUAGUCUUAUUCAUUGGUUCGACUGCUUUAGAAUAACACCUCCCGCUGCGGGUGAAGUGUCCUACUUCGCCAGCAUUUCUGGUCGUGACUUUGGAUUUGUCAUUUUCAGGUAUGAUAAUGUUGACAUCAUAUUUCCAUGGUACUGCAUUGUUGUCUUUGUAAGGGAAAGGAGAUGGUACUUCAAUUAUCAUCUUUGGUUUCACUUGCUCUUUUUUUGCAUCGUAAUAAAUCACCAGUGGUCAAUCGGCACUAUAAGGGAAACCUGAUGAUUGAUUAUCAGAAGUGCAUACUUCUCUUUCAUCGUCCUCUUUCAUUUUGUUAAAGAUCUCGACUUCUUUUUUGUCCAUCAUGUCUUGAAGUAGCUUUCUGAAUCCUUCACAAGACUGGAUGUCAUGCCCCUCGACCUUAUGAAAAUCACAAAAACACUGGCUUUUUGUAUUUCCUUCUUUGGAAAUUCUGUUGGGGCGAUAGAACGGCCCUUUUUCAACCAUUACCUCCCAAAUCUUUCGCAGUGGUGUCUUUAUUUCAGAAACACAACUUCUGGCACGCCACUUAUCUUCUUUUGUCACCGUGAUCACGUUACCUUCAGUGUGGUUAGGGAGCGGGUUUCUAGCCGUAUUGCCAGCACCAUCAAAUUGUAGAAUGCCUGCAUCAAUAAGACUUUGAACUCUCCUUUUAAAGGCCAAACAAUUUUCUGUAGAAUGCCUCUGGUUUCCGGCGUAGUACAUGCAACUAGCAUUAGGAUUGUAUCAUUUUGGGUAUGAAGGCUUCAGGGGUGCCAUAUAAUGUGGGGAUAUUAAUUAUUUUUCCAACAGUUUUGGGUAUAGCUCUCCGUAUGACACGGGAAUUGGGGUGAAUUGGGGUUUUUUAGGAUUGGAUCUUGUCGGUAUUUGUUCAUUUUUGGGUUGGCUUUGAGUAUGCAUGGUAUUUGGUGGGAACAUGGCAAAUGGUAUUUAGUUAUCUGUGGUGUGGACGGGGUAAGGAGGAUAUGCUUGAUAGUAAGGGCUUCAGGGAGGAUAAUAAAAGUUUAGAGGUGGGCGAUAUCGAGGUCGUGUCUGGACUGGGUAAGGAUUAGAAGUGUGGUGGCUUUCAGUUCCCACCAUAUGGGUUUUUGCUUCUUUUUUCUUUAUGGGUGCUGCCCUUUUCGAGCUUUCGGGGCCUUCCAUCCUUCCACUCUUGAUGGCAUUUUCUAUAAGUUCCCCGGAUAUUACAAUAUCUGCAAAGUCUUUCGUGGCACUUCCUACUAACUUAUCAUAAAACGGUACUUUCAAAGUAUUGAUAAAGAGGACCGUUAUUUCAGUUUUAGUUAAUAGGGGUUCUACUUGAGCCGAGAUACUCGUCCACCUUUGCGCGUAUUGCCUAAAAGUCUCCGUCGGCUUUUUUUCCAUCAUCUGCAGAGUUAGUCAAUCGGGCACCAUGUCGGAUACAUGCUUGUAUUGUUCGCAAAAUGCCGAUGCCAAGUCUUUCUAUGAUCUGAUCCUUUCUCUACUAAGUUGAUUAUACCAUCGAAGGGCCGAUCCGACCAAGCUGUCCUGGAAAUAGUGUAUUAACAAUUUAUCUUCAUUCACGUAACCAAUCAUUUUCCAGGAAAAACAUGACAAGAUAUGCCUUUGGACAUUUCGUUCCAUCAUAUUUUUCAAAAUCUGGCACUUUAAAUUUUGGAGGCAGAACCAGAUCGGGUACCAAAGUAAGCUCUUUGGCACUUAGUGCAGAGAAGGUUUCAGCACAUUCUAUCGCUUUGAGCCUUUCUUCCAAGCUCUUAUACUUAUCCUGGGCAUCAUGAUCAUCCAUUUUCAACUUGGCUAUUUUUACCGGAUCAUCUAAAUCUGGAACAUUGGGAUUAGCAGGAUUAGCUCUAGGGCUCGAUACGAAUAUACCUUGCCCUAGAUGAGCAGGGGUACGGGUCGUUACUCCAAGCUUGCAGGUUCUCCUCGAGGACAUUCUAUUUGCAUUACAUGUGCAUGAGGUGGAGUGAAUCCUGGGGGAUAGAGUGGAUCCUGAUCAUGAUUAGUUUUUGGCUGAGGCUCCAUAGUGUCAGGGCUCUGCAUAGGUCCUUGUCCCUUGACCAAAGCUGUCAUCAUCUCCAUCAUUUUGGCCAUUUGAUCUCUUUGCUCGAGUGAUUCCUCUCGAGGUCUUAACAUUAGAUCUCUUGCUUCCUAUUGUGAUUUGGUCAACUACUCUUGCGAUUCUCUUUGGGUCCUUUCCAUCCUUUCAAUUCUCUCAUUGAACUCGGCUUCCAUAAUUCUAGCUUUUCGACGCGUCCUAUAAGAAUGGCGUGAUUCUAGACUUGGAGUAUCACAGCUGCGGAUUAUACGGUUUUAGCCUUGGUGAAUGAUUAUGGUAAUAUAUACAUGAAAUGAAUGAAUGAAUGAAUGUCAAAUGAAUGUUAGUCAUGAAUGAAUGUGCAAGAAUUUGGUGUUGAUUUCAAGAUAGUCCCUACUUAGGCAUUUCAUUAAACAAAAGAGUCUAUUACAAAAUAUUUCGCUAUUUUUUGAUUCAACAGUUACACAAAUUUUCUAGCCACAUUGCCUUGUUUCUUCACUCGUUUUAAGAAUUCUGAUAUGCUUGAUCUUUGACUCGGAGGGAAUUGGCAACUGAGAGCUUCGGCUUCAUCUAAUAGUUGCACAACUUGCAUAACCGCCUUGCGAAUUUCAUUGAUCAAAAAGUCGAGUUGCAUUUCUUUUUCUUGGAGAGCUCUUUCGUAGAUGUAAGUGUCUCUGUCAUACUAAGUAUUCUUUUCUUCCAGGGCUUUUAAGAGAUUAUCCAACUGUUACUGUUGAGCUUGCAGUGUAUUUUCUAAAUCUCGCACUUUCCUUCUUAGCUCUUGAUGUUUAGACUAACUAGUCACAAAUUCUGCAGACGCAGUUUCAUACUCAGCAUUCUUCUUCCUUAACUCUAUCAUAGCACGCACAGCUUUUUCCUCUUCUUUCUUUACUUUCCCUUUCCAGAAUUCUAUCCCACUUUGAUGUUGCUAAUUUCUUUCUUCUAUUCUGCUGACGACUUUCCCAAACCCUUAUUUUUUAUAGUGUUUCUUAAUUUCUUAUUUUCCAAAUGAAGGUCCCUUAAGCCGUUUCUCACGAUCUCAACUUCUUUUUGAACUUUUAUGGUUUUGGAUUCUUCAAUUUCGACCCCGAUCUUCAGCUUGUAAUUUUCCUCUUGAAGAGAACUAAUACCCCAUAAUAACUUGGCCUUUUCAUGUUUAAAUUCAUGUCUCGCUAAUUCCAGCUCGGAUGGCAUUUCUUUUGAGAAAGGAUUCUGGAAAGUGUAACUCAUCAGUGAGAUUUGUUGACUAUUUACUCGUCAUUUUCUCCAUAAGUCAUAAUCCUGAGUGGUAGUAUCAGCAUAAAGGGCUAACUCUAUAAGGUGAAUUUCCUUCUAAGACUUUGUAGUAUCUCAGACUCUUUUCAUAUAGCCUUCACCCGUAAAGGCGAACUCUGAUUGUGCCAAUCCUCCGGUAGCAGGUAUGAACUGUCGUGAAGCAAACAGCCUUUGAACCAUUAACGGAGCGUAUCCAAUUCCUCUCCAUAAUCCUAGUAAAGGCACCAAAUCUUGGCUUCCAUAUUUAUAUAAUAUAACUGAAGGACGGAUCCAUGGUGCUCCCCAUUAAGUAACUGCGCGCAUCCGAUAAAACGUCCUUCCCCUUUCCUCCUACAACAACUUAAAGAUGUAAAAGUCUCGACCAAGAUAGCCAGGACGGGGUUGAUCCCUUGCUUCAAUCUUUCGAAGAAAUCCACUACCGCGACUUCUAUGUGCCCGAGAACUUUUAGGAAAACAAUUAAUCCGUAAAUGGCCAAAGCAAAUAGAUCAAUCCUCUUCAUAAUAUCUGGAUGGUUUUGAACUAAAUCUCGCAAAGAAAACCACAGAACACAACUAACUUCGUUCUUUUUAUUUAUUUGCUUUUCAGCCCACAUAUCAAUCAUUCUCGUCAACCUCACUAACUUUUUCUUGAAGGUCAUUGGUUUGGGCUCCUUCACAUAUAUCUUGCUGAAUUGUACAUUGUCAAUGCGAAGCUAGGCAGCAUACUCUUCUAUGGUCAGAGUCAUAUCUUCCUGAUUGAAAGUAAAGCACUGGUAAGUUGGGUCCCAGAAUUAAACCAUGGCUUGAAUCAACUGUUUGUCUAUAUUGAUGGCGAUCAAGUGAGCUAUAUCCCCGUAUUUUUCAGUAAAGAUGCCUCUAGUAUCUGAGUCCUACUGUUUCCAAAUCUGAGUCAAAUCCUCGAGAUUAUUUUGACGAACAUUUGUAGCUACUUGCUCGGGAAGAUUGGAGAUACAUCAUUCUGUUAAACUGUCCCCUUUCGCCUUCUGAGUUUUCAAAGACCAGUCUCGAACCACUGUAUUUUUCUCAGUCAUUUGUGUAAUUGACUCCUCCAUCAGAAACCUGUUUUUGGCAACCAAUCUCUAAUUAACACCUCCCUAAUCAAGAUGCCUAUGAUGCAUGAUGAAAAAUAAAAACAAAGACAAACAACUUUGGCUAGUAACCACAACAAAUAAGAACUGAGGAAAACUAUAGAAACUUCAACAAAUUAAGCUACCCGAUUCAAUUUCUUUCCAUAAACAGUGUAAUGUAAAGGAAAUGAAAGGCAAGAGCGUUUCUCCCGUGUACUUAUUUUAGUGACUAUUAACGGAAAGAGGUUCGGCGUGGCUCUAAUUAGGUGGCUCAUAUGGUUUACUAUAUGCGAUUUCGGUUCUAGACAGGUACUCGAAUUGUUCGUACUAUCGUCUACUAAAACUAGUACGAAGCCUCGGUCGUAGCCCAUCACAGGCUCACGAGUUCAAUUCGAGGGAUUACAUUUACUUAUGUCUAUGCAGAGGGACAAGUUAACUCACAAAAGCAUAAGUCAUAUGUUAUCCGAAAGUAUUCACUAGCCUAUGCGGAGGCACGAGUUAACUCACGAAGGCAUAGCGUUUACUUCGACUAAAGCGGACGAAACCUGGGUGGAGAGCUCAUGUUAUGCAAAAAUGCAAGUGCACGGUGUGUGGGGAGAAACUCACAAACAUUUACGUUUUACUUAAAAACUAAACUAAAAAAACUAAAACCAUAAGAACUUAGAGCCGAAAAUCAACAAGAUGAAAUAAAUUAGAAGAAUAUUUACAACAUGAUGCAAAUGCAUGACUUUUCAAAACAAAAUUUAAGGAUCACGACUAAAUAUUAAUUUGAACAAGGAAUUUUGAAAAUUUUGACAACACGUGUUUAAUUCAAGACUCGACUCUCAAAAAUGUCCCCAGUGGAGUCGCCAGUUGUAGCGACGUAAAUUUUUUUUGCUUUGGUCGUUAAUUGAGGCGAUUUAUUGAAAAUUUGAAAAACUGACUUUUGAUUUUUUUUUAAAAAGGGAGUCGCCACCGAUCCUUUUUCCUAGGUGUGAUCGGACACUUGAUAAAUCUUCGUUUUAACAAAAAAAAAUUAUUUUUGAUAAGAAGGAAGACGAGUUUAGGUCUACGUGAAAGUUCAAAGAAAAAUAGGGUUCGGAAGUCGGUUACGCGCGGGGAAGGUAUUAGCACCCCCGCGACGCCCAAAAUUGGUAUCUCAUUAAACAUGUGUUGUCUCAAUUUUCAAAAAUGCGAGUUCAAUGUAACGUUUAAUCGUGAUCCGAUCAAAACAUGAGAAAUUUCAAGUUUAUGGUUUUUUUUGAAGGAUGUCCCGUUUUUAACACGAGCCAACGUGAUUCACCCAACAUAGCGAUGAAAUCACAAACUUAAUGUUAAAAUCGGUACAUUUCCUUAUUUAUUGAAAUUAAUAAAAAACAUGAAUAAAAAUAUUUUUUAAAAUAAAAAUUCAUAAAUAAAUAAACGGUGCAAACAAUGAUAUAAUGAAUGAAAAAUACUAACAUAUAAUAUAAAAGCAAUAGGAUAAAAAUAAAAACAAUAUUUACAAUAAAAAGAAAAUAAUAAUAAAAAAUAAUGAUAUGCUAAUAAUAUAAUAAGAAAAGCAAACUGAUACGGAAUGGGUAAGAAACAAAAAAUAAAGGAGUUAGAAAUACAUUGAAGUAAAUAAUAAAUAUGAUAAUAAUAUUAAAAACAAUAACAAUGCAUGCGAUAUUAAAUGUAAUAGUAAUAUUAAACACGAAAUAAAAACAACGAAUAUAUAUACAUAUAAUAAUAGUUAGUAAAGUGACGAAAACAUGAUAUUAAAAACACUAAUAAUGUUACCUAUAUACAUACAUAUAUAUAUUAAAAUAUAAACAUAAUAAUAGUAUUACAAAGUAUAUAUAUAAUAUUAAAAAUAUAUACAUAAUAUAUACAUAUUAGAGAUAAUAAUAAUAUUAAAAACAACUAUUAAUAAUACUACAUAAGUAUACACAUAUAUAUUAAAAAUAAAUACAUAAUAAUAUUAAAAGUAUAUACAUAAUAUAUAUAAAAUAUAGUUGUCGAAACCAUCCCUCGAUUUAAAAUAUUUUAGAUUUAAAAAAGGAGAGAUCGACUUUUUGAAAAAUAGCAAGAUGGAGUCGCCACCGUUCUUUUGUUUUGAUGUGAUCGGAUCACCUAAGGAUUUGGUUAUUUUAAUGAGACAUUUUCAGUUUACUAAAACACAGAUUAUGGUCUACGAAAAUUUUAGAAAACGGGCUCGGGAGUCGGUUACGUAUGAGGAAGGGUUAGCACCCUCACUAUGCCCAAAAUUGGUACCAAAUCGAUUAAAUACUGUCCUUAUGUCUAAAGUUAAAAAGUUUUUGAAAUGUGGUUCUUCUUUAUGACGUUUGAGUAACCCAAGUUGGUUGCCAAAAUCUUCUUGUUUCAAUAUUCGAAAGCUUAUAAUUCGAGAAUUACAAAAGGAUGCUCAACUAUUUAGUCCAACGAAAAAUCGAAACCCAGCACAGUAGGGUACGAUUUCUCGAAUUUCCAAACAUUGACCAUUGCCUUACCUUAUAAAAUACGUGUGAAAUUCCGAGGAGAUAUUCGAUUAUUUUGGACAAAUGAAAAAGCGCAACCCAACACGAUAGGGCUCGAUUCUCAAAUUGCCAAUCAUCGAACAUCGCCUACAUUUUGAAAGAUUUUAGAAAAUGUGAGUGAAAUUCCAAUGGGAUGUUCAACUGUUCCGAACCAAUGAAAAAGCGCAACCCAGCACGAUAAGGCACGAUUCUCAAAUAGCCAAACAUUGAACAUCGUCUUUGUUUUUAAGUAUUUUUUUUAUAUAAACAUGAGUGAGAAUAUAAAGGAAUGUUCAAUCGUUUUGAGCAAACGAGAAAUCACAACCCAUCACGAUAGGGCAUGAUUCUCGGAUUGUCAAACGCCAAAUAUUGCCUUCAUUUUAAAUAAUUUUUAGAUGAUAUGAAUGAAAUUUUGAAGGGAUACUGGAUUAUUUUGAGCAAACGCGAAGUUGCAACCUAACACGUUAGGACACAAUUUCGCGAAUUGCUAAAUAUCGAAUCUCGUCUUCGUUUUGAAGAAUUUUUGAAUGAAUGAUUAUAAAGCUAGCUUAAGACGUAUUAAUUCGAUUUGAAAUAAGGUGAAAUUAAUCAUAAGAUUCGGGUUUUAUAGAACCACAUUUCAAAAAUCAAGAUGGAAAACGAUGAUAUAAGGUAAUAGGCAUAUACGAGAUGUGAUCAACUAACAUACUAAUAAUUAAACGGGACUAAUCUAAAAAGGUAAUGCGAUUGCAAUAAUACAUGGAGAGUAGUCGAUGUGAUGACAUAUAAGAAUGCGCAAAUACGACGUAGCAAAUAUACAAGAAGUAUCGUGAAGAUAAUUAACACAUGAGGUACCAACGAUAUAGAAUCAACACGACACAAAAAUAAUGGACUAAAAAUGAUGGACUAACAAUCAAGUAAUAUAUGCUAGAAUUUGAAACAAUUUAUAUAUAUAUAAAAAAAAGUGUUUAUAUACGUACGAGUGAAUUUUGAAGUAACUAUAUACAAAAUAACAUGAAAUUAAAAAAUAUGAAUUAUAUAUAUAGAAAAAUGGAUUGAUUUUAUCACAAAUUAUAUAUAUAUAUGUAUGUAUGAAAAUAAACUAGAAACAAUUGCUUGUAAAAAAACAUAGAAACAUAUUCAAGAUUGAAUUAUUCUUAUUAUAAAUUAUGAUGGACUUAAAAGCACGCUUAUGUAUAAAGAAAACUAUAUAUAUGUAAAAUAUAGGUUUGAUAAUGUAUGUAAAUCGAAAAACAUGUACUAAUGUAAAUGAAUAACUUAAAUUUUAUGUAAACAUAUAUACAAAGCAUAUUUGAAUAGCAAGAAUAUGUAUUAAAAUACAUGAUCAAAUAUAUAUAUAGGAAAUAAGUGGUAAAUAAAGUGAAUAAUGGCUUAAGAUAUAUAUAUAUAUAUAUACAUACAUAUAUAAGUACAAGAUACAUAAUAUGAAAGAAGAACCUUAAAGUAGGUAAUAAAUAAAAUAUUUUAAAGUAAAUAAAUAAAGUUUAAGAAUAUAUUUAAAAUAAAAUAUAAAUAGUUUAAAAUAUAAUUCAUGAAAGGAAAUCUGAAAUAGAACAUUGUAUACAUAAAAAGAUUUAUAUAUGAAUAAUAUAUAUAUAUAUAUAAAAACGUUAAAAAUAGAUAAUGUUAAUAUAUACAUAAAAGUUUAAAACAAUAAUAUUUAAAUAAUAAAACUCACAACAAAUAAUGAAACAAUCUUUAAAACAUAUAUGCAUAAAAAAAUAUUUAAAACAAAAUGUAUAUAUAACUAUUCAAAAUGAGUAACAUGAACAAUUUAAUACAAAGUUUAAAAUAACUACGAUGGUUUGAAAUAAACAAAAAGGUUUGCAUGUACAUGAACAAGGACUUGAUUGAAAUUAAACUGAAACAACAAGGCAAAACUAAGAAAAUAGAACGAAUAACAAAGGGGGACUAAAUCCUAACGCAAGCAAAUGCCUGGGGUCUAAAAUUGGCAAUAUACCAGACCUCGGAGUGUUGCGUUUAGAUACGGGCCCAAUUACAAACAAACGCAAAUCAUCAGUAUAGAUUAAAAGCAAAUGGGAUGAUGACGCAGGAUGAUUUGGAUGGGGUACGAAAGUAGAGGGGCCAAAAUUGCAAAUAAUCCCUCACCGCGAAAACACGUGGGUCAUCAGGACCACGAACUGGAUCGGGUCGGGCCUUGGCUACACGACGCCGUAUUUGAGCUACAGAGACAUGCUCGAACGGCGACGUUUUCAAAUCACCAUAAAGGCUCAUUUAGGCUUGCCCGCCGAACCCUAGCCUCUCUUCCCAAUCGUCAGCCUCACACUUUCUCCUUCCAGCGUCGAUUCAUCUCCAUCAGAUAGAUGCUCUUAGAGCCUGGAGGAAUCUUGGCCGGAGAUCCCUCCUCAACUUAAAUUUCAACGAAGAGAGGAGGAGAAAUCUGUAGCGUGCUCGCGCGGUAAGGUUUCUCAGUCACUGUUCUUACUAUGUUUUUUAAAAAAAAUGGUGAAUGAUUCCCAUAGAAUACGAAACGAUGUGAAGAAAGGUAAAGAGAUUCGAAGGAAGAAAUCACAUCUGCUAUUUUUUGCUUUCUAUUACGUGUAUAUUCUGUGAAUAUGCGUUCGUAUUGCUUGUGUGUAACCGAUUACAAGGAUCAAAACUUCUGCUUUAUAGCCGAAGAAAAAAGGAAAAUCAAAAUAAAACACAAUAUUUCUCUUCUAUUUCCUAUUUGCUGCUGUUCUGCCUCGUUUGUUUGCAGGUACGAGUACGGGGCUGUGCGUUGGCCCUUGGCACGAGGCAUACGGGGCUGUGCUGGCGCGGGUACGGAGGUGGCUGACGUGGGGGCUGGGGCUUGGCUACCUGGUGAAGGCUGCGGCGCGAGGACCCCUCUGCCCUAGGGUUUGCCGAAGUUUGGUUUGGCUCUCGGGCUAUUUGGGGCUCAUUUUAAGUGUUGGGCCACUAGAUUUGGGCUAGAGGGACUCUUUUGGAUAUUUGGGUUUGUGAUAGGGCAUUAGGCCAUGUAAUUGGGCUGUUAUAAAACUUGGGUUUUAUAUUUAGGUCUAGUUUAUGUAAUUGGGUUGGGCCAUGUAAUGAUUUGGUUUGUAAAAAGACAUUAAUUUGGACUGUUUUAUUUAUUUUAUGUUUAUG
rnacentral:lncRNA from 1 species